GUGACCUCUCCUCCCCUGCCGACGUCAGCUCCCGAGUGGAGCGGAAUGCGCAUGCGCGGCAAGUGCAAUGCGCGCAUUCAAACAGUCCAUAGGAAAGCAUUUCUCAAUUGACCUGAAGUGGUCUGGGUGACUAUAGUGUCCCUUUAACUUGACUCUAGUGACUGUGAUACUGACAGCCACUGGAAGAGCAUCAGUCCAGAUAGCGGAGGAAUACUCCACUACUUCAGUCAAAUGCUCAUAGAGACCAUCUCACUGGUGGAGCAUUCCAUUAGGCUGUGCAUGCGCACUAGCUUCCUAAUGCUUUCCUAUGGGAAAUCAUUGGAUUGACUGAGAUCAUCAAUUUCUGAGAUCUUGGCACUAUAGUUUUAG